rnacentral:rRNA from 1 species
UACAGAGGUCCCAAGCGUUGUUCGGAUUCACUGGGCGUAAAGGGUGCGUAGGUGGUGAGGUAAGUCGGAUGUGAAAUCUCCGAGCUCAACUCGGAAAUUGCAUUGGAAACUACCUUGCUUGAGGGUUGGAGGGGGGACUGGAAUGCUUGGUGUAGCAGUGAAAUGCGUAGAUAUCAAGCGGAACACCAGUGGCGAAGGCGAGUCCCUGGACAACAACUGACGCUGAGGAGCGAAAGCGUGGGGAGCGAACAGG